rnacentral:rRNA from 1 species
GACGAACGCUGGCGGCGUGCCUAAUACAUGCAAGUUGAGCGCUGAAGGUUGGUACUUGUACCAACUGGAUGAGCAGCGAACGGGUGAGUAACGCGUGGGGAAUCUGCCUUUGAGCGGGGGACAACAUUUGGAAACGAAUGCUAAUACCGCAUAAAAACUUUAAACACAAGUUUUAAGUUUGAAAGAUGCAAUUGCAUCACUCAAAGAUGAUCCCGCGUUGUAUUAGCUAGUUGGUGAGGUAAAGGCUCACCAAGGCGAUGAUACAUAGCCGACCUGAGAGGGUGAUAGGCCACAAUGGGACUGAGACACGGCCCAAAAUCCUACGGGAAGGAGCAGUAGGGAAUCUUCGGCAAUGGACGAAAGUCUGACCGAGCAACGCCGCGUGAGUGAAGAAGGUUUUCGGAUCGGAAAACUCUGUUGGUAGAGAAGAACGUUGGUGAGAGUGGAAAGCGCAUCAAGUGACGGUAACUACCCAGAAAGGGACGGCUAACUACGUG